UUUUUGGAAGUCUAGAAACUAGAAAUACUAAUCGUAACCUACAUUAUACAUUUUUUCUGUGAUUGAACCUUUGCAUGAACCACAAAUGAAAUCAUGAAAUAGAAAAAAAUAAUAAUGCUUGUAUUUCGUCAAAUGAAUAGAUUUUCUUGCAUUACUGUAACUAUAUAUACAGUUUUUCAAAAAAAAAAAAAAAAAACGAUUUGAAAAAUACCCACUCUAGCGUCUUUUUGAUCAACUAUCUCAGAACAGCCAGAUGACAGACUGAAAUUAUGCCAAUGAUACCCGCGGAUGUCAAUGCUCAAAGAACAUAUGAAGAAGAUGCACGGAAUGAUGAUCGUGACACGAAAGAUGUUCUUCAAGAAUUUACCAACAUUGUCAACGACGCAGAUCAACCAAGCCAAAUUAGUGUUUAAAAAUGAAGUUGAUAACCAACAGCCUUACUUUAUAACGCAAAGUGUCGAAAAUCACAAAAGUUAACGCCAAAGUGAUAGACUUAAUAGUGUACUCUUUACUAUUGGAGAAAAUAUUAUUACUAUAAAUAAUUUAAAAUGAAAUUCAGUAUAUUUGAAAUUAUUUUUGUGUAUGAUUUUUGAUAUUUGUUUUGUGAUUUUAGAAGAUUUUAAAAUGUUCUUGUCAAUAUAUGGCGAUAAAGGCACACGAGACUUACAAGUAUCGUGUGCCUUUUUUCUAUAUUAGAUACUAGCAUAAUUAUUUAAUUUUACUUAUUUAUUUUAAUUGAUUUUUGAAAAUGAAUAAAAUUUAUUUGGAAUGUAAAUAAACAGAAAUUUGCAAGAGAUAGUUUUGGAAUGUAUGAAAACAUUAGCGUAAUUCGUCAACUGCAUUGCUGUAUAUUUAUUUCAUUUUCGCUAUUUUUAACUUAAUUGAUUUUGUUAAAUAAAUUAAAUUUGUUGGAGAUGAAAGUAAAAAGAAAUAUACAAGAGAUGGUUAUGAAAUAUGUGUCAACAUUAUAGUUGUUCCUCCGAAGCCAGUUAAAGUAGAUCAGAACUAAACUCAGUGAAGGGCACAAGUUAGGAAACAGACUUUGGGAUUUGAGUCUUGGGUGUUGAUAUAUAUUCCUUUAGAUCUAGAGGUGACCUUACAGGUAACCUUGUUGAGACACCAGCCUUUUUGGAGAAAAACAAUUUUUCAAUUUUUUUGUAUGUACAUAUAAAUUCUACUAAGAUAUACUAAAUUUGUAAAUAAUUUUUCCAUCUAAAACUAUGCUAAAACCUAUGUUAGUCUUAUGUUUAUGCUGGCGCAUUUUUCCUAUAUUUGAAGAAAAAAUUUAUUUUAUUAUAUAUAGGUAUUAGCAUGAUUUUACAAAUUCUUUGACAAUUCGUUUUUAGACUCAACUUUGUG
rnacentral:misc_RNA from 1 species